rnacentral:rRNA from 1 species
AGAAUCAACGCUGGCGGCGUGCCUAACACAUGCAAGUCGAACGCGAAAGGGGAGCAAUCCCUGAGUAGAGUGGCAAACGGGUGAGUAACACGUGGGUGACCUGCCUUCGAGUGGGGGAUAACGUUCCGAAAGGAACGCUAAUACCGCAUGACAUCCUGUCCUUGGAAGGACGGAGAUCAAAGCUGGGGAUCGUAAGACCUGGCGCUUGAAGAGGGGCCCGCGCCUGAUUAGCUAGUUGGUGAGGUAACGGCUCACCAAGGCUACGAUCAGUA